rnacentral:rRNA from 1 species
AUUGAACGCUGGCGGCAUGCUUUACACAUGCAAGUCGAACGGCAGCGCGGGCUUCGGCCUGGCGGCGAGUGGCGAACGGGUGAGUAAUGCAUCGGAACGUGCCCAGUAGUGGGGGAUAGCCCGGCGAAAGCCGGAUUAAUACCGCAUACGACCUGAGGGUGAAAGCGGGGGACCGAAAGGCCUCGCGCUAUUGUAGCGGCCGAUGUCGGAUUAGCUAGUUGGUUGGGUAAAGGCUUACCAAGGCGACGAUCCGUAGCUGGUCUGAGAGGACGACCAGCCAAACUGGGACUGAGACACGGACCAGACUCCUACGGGAGGCAGCAGUGGGGAAUUUUGGACAAUGGGGGCAACCCUGAUCCAGCAAUGCCGCGUGCGGGAAGAAGGCGUUCGGGUUGUAAACCGCUUUUGUUCGGGAAGAAAUACUCUGGGCUAAUACCCCGGGGGGAUGACGGUACCGGAAGAAUAAGCACCGGCUAACUACGUG